GUCUGAAAUGUGCACAUAAAGCAUUCACUGCCAUUCGUAUAAACAUAACAGUUUGUCUUGAUUCUAAUUAGUCUAUAAGACUAAAUCAUUUAAUUCACAAUUCUUAUACAGGGAAACAUAUUUCGUUGAACCAGUACUGAAUAUAAAAACAAGAUGUGAUGUGAUUACCUCUGAAACAACUCUUCAAAAGACUCCAAAUGAUACAGAAAUUAACAGCAACAGGUCACCGCACGAUUUAAUAAUGUUGAGCGAUUGGUUGCAAAACUUAUAUUGAUAUAUUGCACGAAUUAUUCGGCAAAUGAAAUUCUUAUAAUUAGUAUUCAGC
rnacentral:lncRNA from 1 species